rnacentral:rRNA from 1 species
UGGGUAGUCCGCACGAGCGCACCUUGUCGUUAGUUGCCAUCAUUAAGUUGGGCACUCUAACGAGACUGCCGGUGUUAAACCGGAGGAAGGUGGGGAUGACGUCAAGUCCUCAUGGCCCUUACGGUCGGGGCUACACACGUGCUACAAUGGCAGGUACAGAGUGCUGCGAAGUCGCGAGGCGGAGCCAAUCACCAAAAACCUGUCUCAGUUCGGAUUGGAGUCUGCAACUCGACUCCAUGAAGUCGGAAUCGCUAGUAAUCGUGGAUCAGCAUGCCACGGUGAAUACGUUCCCGGGCCUUGUACACACUGCCCGUCACACCAUGGGAGUUGUUUGGACCCAACGUCGCCGAGCGAACCCUUCCGGGGAGUAAGCGCCUAAGGUCUGGAUAGCGACUGGGGUGAAGUCGUAACAAGGUAGCCGUAGGGGAACCUGCGGCUGGAUCACCUCCUUUAA